AUGAGCAUGGCCUUCUCGUGCGCGAGCGUUCGCCUGCACGGCCGCGUCGGCACCGUCAAGUGCCGGGCCGUUCUAGCUAGGCCGAGCGGCUGUUCGUACCCGACUGGAAGGAGGCGGAUCGCUAGAGGAAUCCGUUGCCAGCUGCCGCCGCAGGCCAGUGCGGAUGGGAGCGCGGCCACCACCUCCGGCGCAGCUGUGGUCGCCCGAGAGGCGGGGAAGGUUGCUGGUUCUGCCGAGGACGUCGGCGCGGUUACCCAGCCGACUGCGCUUCAAGAGAAGGGCGCGGAGGUUGCUGACGUUAGUGGGUCGGGUGGGAAUGCGAAGUUCCGGCCUGGUGGCGGCGGUGGUGGAGGUGGGGAUAGUGGUGGGGGUGGCGAUGGUGGGGAUGGCCACAAUGAGGGGGAUGAUGAGUUUGGGCCGAUCCUUAGCUUCGAACAGGUAGUCCAGGAGGUGGAGAAGCAAGGGGUUAGCUUGUCCAGCUUGCCAGCCGAUAUGAUCGAGGCAGCGAAGAGCAUCGGGAUUCAGAAGCUGCUGCUGCUGAGAUACUUGGACAUGCAGGCCUCAGCUUGGCCCUUGGGUCCUGCCAUUAGAUCCUGUGGGCUUCUCCGGAAUAGGAUGCUGGUUGAUCCUGUGUUCCUCUUCAAAAUUGGGACGGAGAUAGUUAUUGACACAUGUUGCGCGACUUUUGCGGAGGUUCAGAAGAGGGGCGAUGAGUUCUGGUCAGAGUUCGAGUUGUAUGCAGCAGAUAUGUUGGUAGGCGUAGUUGUUAAUGUUGCUUUAGUUGGCAUGUUAGCACCAUAUGCUCGAUUCCGUGGGGGGUCUGCAUCAGCAGGUAUUCUUGGGCGUGUUAGGCAUGCUUAUGAUGCUCUCCCGAGCAGUGUUUUUGAAGCUGAAAGGCCAGGAUACAGUUUUUCCAUUCAACAACGGCUUGGAUCAUACCUUCUCAAGGGACUUUUAUAUGGUGCAGUUGGAUUUUCUUGUGGUCUUGUUGGCCAAGGCAUUGCAAACUUGAUAAUGACUGCAAAGCGGAGUGUGAAGAAGUCAGAGAAUGACGUACCUGUUCCACCUCUUCUAAAAACUUCUGCUUUGUGGGGUGUGUUCCUUGGUGUCUCGUCCAACACCCGUUAUCAGGUAAUUAAUGGUCUUGAGCGCUUGGUUGAGGCUUCGCCUCUUGGCAAGCGUGUCCCAGCUGCUUCUUUGGCAUUCACUGUCAGCGUGCGCUUUGCAAAUAAUGUCUAUGGAGGAAUGCAAUUUGUGGAUUGGGCCAGAAUGAGUGGUUGUCAAUGA
rnacentral:rRNA from 1 species